GUUCCUGACUCAAUUAUCUCUCAGGUACAGGGGAGGGAUUACCCUGUUAUUUUGUUUAAGAAACCCAUUGCAUGGACUUUGUCAUAAAAGGCCGUGUGUGGCCCUAAAUAAAACAGCCUUCUCCCAGCAUUAAGCCUUGGCUCAUUUGUGGGGGGAUAUGUGAUACAGGCGAUAUUUCCCUUCAGGAUUAUUACUUUAUUAGAGGAAAAGGGAAUCCAUGGUGCUGAUACCUGGGCGGAC